AAGGUGUGGAAUGUCUAGUUUAGGACCU
rnacentral:sRNA from 1 species